rnacentral:rRNA from 1 species
ACAGCAGUAGCCACGGGAAUACAGAGGGUGCGAGCGUUAAUCGGAUUUACUGGGCGUAAAGCGUGCGUAGGCGGCUUCUUAAGUCGGAUGUGAAAUCCCUGAGCUUAACUUAGGAAUUGCAUUCGAUACUGGGAAGCUAGAGUAUGGGAGAGGAUGGUAGAAUUCCAGGUGUAGCGGUGAAAUGCGUAGAGAUCUGGAGGAAUACCGAUGGCGAAGGCAGCCAUCUGGCCUAAUACUGACGCUGAGGUACGAAAGCAUGGGGAGCAAACAGGAUUAGAUACCCCAGUAGUCCCUGUCUCUUAUAA